CGGGUGUUGUGCUGUGUUCUGUUGUGUUGUGUUGUCGCGCUAUAAAAUAUAUUUAACAAACUGAUUUAUUGCAUUUUGAUAACCCCUCACUGGGUCGGGCCACCGCCUCAACUCGCCAUUCCCGCUUCACAUUCGUCGUCUAGGAGCUAAAAACCUAAUGGCAUCGAGCACAACUGUGCAAAAUGUCAAGCCACACCAGAUGAAGAAGAACGCGUUUUAUAAUUGCCUGACCUUGAGCUAUCAAUCAUGCAGUCGGCUGAAGAAAGUCCUCAACAAACUUCGCCCCGCCCAGUGACAAAAUUUGACAGGAAAGCUGGCAGGAGGUCGUACGCCGCCCCACUCGUCAGUAAGUGAGUGUAAACUUGAGUUCGGACUCCGGACCUCGAACUCGGACUUUGGACCACCAGCUGCCAGGAACGAGAUGCGGCUGUCAGGCUUUUUAAGCCCAAAACGUUGUCGACGAAUUGAUUUUGCUCCUCUCAGCAGGACUCUUAGCCAACUGACACUGGCAGGCGGUCCGUGCAAGAGAGAUGGGAAAGUGAGCACUUUGUAGCCGCAUCUGGCAGACUUACAUACAUACUUAUAUGGAAUCAUAGAAAUAAAUAAAUAAUAAUAAGUUAUUUUUUAAAACUUUUAAUUUAUACUUUUGAACGGAUUAUUCUAACAGUAACUAUAUUUUCUAUAAGUAUAUAUCUAUCAUACAGUAAUUAAUAUAAAUAAAAUGUUCUUUGAACCAGCA